rnacentral:rRNA from 1 species
AUUGAACGCUGGCGGCAGGCCUAACACAUGCAAGUCGAGCGAGCGGCGGACGGGUGAGUAAUGUAUGGGGACUGCCCGAUAGAGGGGGAUAACUAAUGGAAACGGUAGCUAAUACCGCAUACUAACGGAUAAACCAAAUGGGAUUAGCUAGUAGGGGAGGUAAUGGCUCACCUAGGCGACGAUCCCUAGCUGGUCUGAGGGUAUUAUCAGCCACACGGGGACGGAGACAGGUCCCAUACUCCUACGGAGGCAGCAGUGGGGAAUAUUGCACAAGGGGCGCAAGCCUGAUGUAGCCAUGCCGCGUGUAUGAAGAAGGCCCUAGGGUUGUAAAGUACGUUCAGUCGGGAGGCGUUACCUACAGAAGAAGCACCGGCUAACUCCGUGCCAGCCGCCGCGGUAAUUC